UCUCUUGUUUGUUCCAGAGACUUCUUCAGUUUCUCUCUCUUUCUCUCACUCAGUUCUUCAUCAACUUUGCCUUCAAUCCUUGGGUUUUCAUGGUAUCAGAGCGGGAUGAUCCUCGGGUUUAUCUCCAUUACUUGUUAUCGAUUGCGUUGGAAGUUUUAUUGAAGGUUUUUCUCGGAUAUUUGUGAGAGAUUUUGUUUACCGAGAGAACGAUGUAUACUGAACGGAUAAUCGGAGCCUUUACUAUUGUUUGAUGCUUCGAUCUUCACUCAGUGGAUGUUUUGGGUGAUUUUUCGACAUUCCUAACCUUUUUCCGGUGAAUCUUCAGAUUCUAGGGUUUUCGGUGGUUGAACCUAGGGUUUUACUGCUAUCCUAUGGCUCGAUCCUCACUCGGUGGAUGUUUUGGGUGAUUUUCCGACAUCUCUGACCCUAUUCCGGCUGUUGUUUGAUGCUUCGAUCUUCACUCGGUGGAUGUUUUGGGUGAUUUUCCGACAUCCCUGACCUUUUUCCGGUGAUUCUUCAGAUUCUAGAGUUUUCGGUGGUUGAACCUAGGGUUUUACUGCUAUCCUAUGGCUCGAUCCUCACUCGGUGGAUGUUUUGGGUGAUUUUCCGACAUCUCUGACCCUAUUACGGUAAGUUUCCAGUACGGUUUCCGGUGGUUGGACCUAAGGUUUUGGACCUAAGGUUUUAUCUGGCGAUUGAAGGCCGUUCUUCUCCGGUCUCGAAGAAGGAGGGUAACUCUAUCCUUGUUCUAAGUGUUGUAUGUUUUGCAUGUGGGUUCUGAGACUGUUUUUUUUAUUUCAAACUGAUUAUUGUUCAUGGCUUCUAAUAUGAAUGCUAGUACAUCCUCAGUGGACUCCACCAGUCCCCUUUUUGUCUACUCCUCUGAUGUUCCUGGAGGCUCUCUUGUGUCCACUCCCUUCUCGGGGAUGGCUAUGGGGGUUGAAGGAGGAAGAUGAUUGUCGCGUUAUCUGCUAAAAACAAAAUCGAUUUUGUUGAUCGCACCUGUCCCCAGCCAGUCACUAUUGUGACUUAACAAAGACCUGCUAGUACCUCCUCAGUGGACUCUACCAGCCCCCUUUUUGUUUACUCCUCUGGUGUUCCUGGAGUCUCUCUUGUGUCCACUUCCUUCUCAGGCAGUGGUUAUGGGGGUUGGAGGAGGAAAAUGAUUGUCGCGUUAUCUGCUAAAAACAAAAUU
rnacentral:lncRNA from 1 species